GAAGAAGUAUGUUUUCUAGAUGGUUGAUCCUCUGCAUCAUUCCUCUCUACGUAAACAUCAAAUUAACCAAAAACACUUCACUCAACAACAAAACAAGUACUCAAAUCAUACAAAAAUGAACUUAUAGGUCUAACAACACCUCAUUGUUGACCGCCAUUUGUAGUUUCUGAGGACCACCGCUUUCGCCACCAGCAAAUCCACCGCGUUAAAUACCUCUAUGAUCCUUAAGUCUCUUAGUAAUCUAGUUAACCAAUAGUAUAUAAGGCACAGUAAAAUAAAAUACAAUAAAAUAAACUGUAGAAAAUUGAGUAGAUUGAAAUGGCAAUUAGUGUAGAAUAGUGAAAGAGAAAUGGCGGACACCUCACAUUGUUAUCGAUUGA
rnacentral:lncRNA from 1 species